GGGACACGUGGUAUCCUGUCUGAAUAUGGGGGGACCAUCCUCCAAGGCUAAAUACUCCUGACUGACCGAUAGUGAACCAGUACCGUGAGGGAAAGGCGAAAAGAACCCCGGCGAGGGGAGUGAAAAAGAACCUGAAACCGUGUACGUACAAGCAGUGGGAGCACGCUUAGGCGUGUGACUGCGUACCUUUUGUAUAAUGGGUCAGCGACUUAUAUUCUGUAGCAAGGUUAACCGAAUAGGGGAGCCGAAGGGAAACCGAGUCUUAACUGGGCGUUAAGUUGCAGGGUAUAGACCCGAAACCCGGUGAUCUAGCCAUGGGCAGGUUGAAGGUUGGGUAACACUAACUGGAGGACCGAACCGACUAAUGUUGAAAAAUUAGCGGAUGACUUGUGGCUGGGGGUGAAAGGCCAAUCAAACCGGGAGAUAGCUGGUUCUCCCCGAAAGCUAUUUAGGUAGCGCCUCGUGAAUUCAUCUCCGGGGGUAGAGCACUGUUUCGGCAAGGGGGUCAUCCCGACUUACCAACCCGAUGCAAACUGCGAAUACCGGAGAAUGUUAUCACGGGAGACACACGGCGGGUGCUAACGUCCGUCGUGAAGAGGGAAACAACCCAGACCGCCAGCUAAGGUCCCAAAGUCAUGGUUAAGUGGGAAACGAUGUGGGAAGGCCCAGACAGCCAGGAUGUUGGCUUAGAAGCAGCCAUCAUUUAAAGAAAGCGUAAUAGCUCACUGGUCGAGUCGGCCUGCGCGGAAGAUGUAACGGGGCUAAACCAUGCACCGAAGCUGCGGCAGCGACACUAUGUGUUGUUGGGUAGGGGAGCGUUCUGUAAGCCUGUGAAGGUGUACUGUGAGGUAUGCUGGAGGUAUCAGAAGUGCGAAUGCUGACAUAAGUAACGAUAAAGCGGGUGAAAAGCCCGCUCGCCGGAAGACCAAGGGUUCCUGUCCAACGUUAAUCGGGGCAGGGUGAGUCGACCCCUAAGGCGAGGCCGAAAGGCGUAGUCGAUGGGAAACAGGUUAAUAUUCCUGUACUUGGUGUUACUGCGAAGGGGGGACGGAGAAGGCUAUGUUGGCCGGGCGACGGUUGUCCCGGUUUAAGCGUGUAGGCUGGUUUUCCAGGCAAAUCCGGAAAAUCAAGGCUGAGGCGUGAUGACGAGGCACUACGGUGCUGAAGCAACAAAUGCCCUGCUUCCAGGAAAAGCCUCUAAGCAUCAGGUAACAUCAAAUCGUACCCCAAACCGACACAGGUGGUCAGGUAGAGAAUACCAAGGCGCUUGAGAGAACUCGGGUGAAGGAACUAGGCAAAAUGGUGCCGUAAC
rnacentral:rRNA from 1 species